rnacentral:ncRNA from 2 species
CGUAGCGAUGGGGAUGGAGUUCCCCGAUACCCGCCGCGAAGGCUGAUGACUCCUACUGCGAC